rnacentral:rRNA from 1 species
GACGAACGCUGGCGGCGUGCUUAACACAUGCAAGUCGAACGGAAAGGCCCUGCUUUUGCGGGGUGCUCGAGUGGCGAACGGGUGAGUAACACGUGAGUAACCUGCCCUUGACUUUGGGAUAACUUCAGGAAACUGGGGCUAAUACCGGAUAGGAGCUCCUGCUGCAUGGUGGGGGUUGGAAAGUUUCGGCGGUUGGGGACGGACUCGCGGCUUAUCAGCUUGUUGGUGGGGUAGUGGCUUACCAAGGCUUUGACGGGUAGCCGGCAUGAGAGGGUGACCGGCCACAUUGGGACUGAGGGACGGCCCAGACUGGUACGGGAGGCAGCAGGGGGGAAUAUUGCAGAAUGGGCGGAAGCCUGAUGCAGCGACGCCGCGUGCGGGAUGACGGCCUUCGGGUUGUAAACCGCCUUCGCCUGUGACGAAGCGGGAGUGACGGUAAUGGGUAAAGAAGCACCGGCUAACUACGUG